AAUCGACCGCCUGGGGAGUACGGCCGCAAGGUUAAAACUCAAAUGAAUUGACGGGGGCCCGCACAAGCGGUGGAGCAUGUGGUUUAAUUCGAUGCAACGCGAAGAACCUUACCUACUCUUGACAUCCAGAGAACUUUCCAGAGAUGGAUUGGUGCCUUCGGGAACUCUGAGACAGGUGCUGCAUGGCUGUCGUCAGCUCGUGUUGUGAAAUGUUGGGUUAAGUCCCGCAACGAGCGCAACCCUUAUCCUUUGUUGCCAGCGGUUAGGCCGGGAACUCAAAGGAGACUGCCAGUGAUAAACUGGAGGAAGGUGGGGAUGACGUCAAGUCAUCAUGGCCCUUACGAGUAGGGCUACACACGUGCUACAAUGGCGCAUACAAAGAGAAGCGACCUCGCGAGAGCAAGCGGACCUCAUAAAGUGCGUCGUAGUCCGGAUUGGAGUCUGCAACUCGACUCCAUGAAGUCGGAAUCGCUAGUAAUCGUAGAUCAGAAUGCUACGGUGAAUACGUUCCCGGGCCUUGUACACACCGCCCGUCACACCAUGGGAGUGGGUUGCAAAAGAAGUAGGUAGCUUAACCUUCGGGAGGGCGCUUACCACUUUGUGAUUCAUGACUGGGGUGAAGUCGUAACAAGGUAACCGUAGGGGAACCUGCGGUUG
rnacentral:rRNA from 1 species